rnacentral:ncRNA from 1 species
AUCUUCAGGGCAGGGUGGAAUUCCCUACCGGCGGUAUAGCCCGCGAGCCGUAAGGCUGAUCCGGUCAGAUUCCGGAGCCGACAGUACAGUCUGGAUGGAAGAAGA